UGGGGAAUAUUGCACAAUGGGGGAAACCCUGAUGCAGCGACGCCGCGUGAGCGAAGAAGGUUUUCGAAUCGUAAAGCUCUGUCCUAUGAGAAGAUAAUGACGGUAUCAUAGGAGGAAGCCCCGGCUAAAUACGUGCCAGCAUCCGCGGUAAUACGUAUGGGGCGAGCGUUGUCCGGAAUUAUUGGGCGUAAAGGGUACGUAGGCGGUCUAUUAAGUCAGGUGUGAAAGCGUGAGGCUUAACCUCAUUAAGCACUUGAAACUGAUAGACUUGAGUGAAGGGGAGGAAAGUGGAAUUCCUAGUGUAGCGGUGAAAGGCGUAGAUAUUAGGAGGAAUACCGGUGGCGAAGGCGGCUUUCUCGACUGCAAAUGACACUGAGGCACGAAAGCGUGGGUAGCAAACAGG
rnacentral:rRNA from 1 species